UCACCGAAGUCAUGAAGUUUC
rnacentral:miRNA from 1 species